rnacentral:rRNA from 1 species
UACGGAGGGUGCAAACGUUGCUCGGAAUCAUUGGGCGUAAAGCGCACGUAGGCGGCCUGUUAAGUCUGAUGUGAAAGCCCCGGGCUCAACCCGGGAAGUGCAUACGAAACUGGCAGGCUUGAAUAUGGAAGAGGGUCGCGGAAUUCCCGGUGUAGAGGUGAAAUUCGUAGAUAUCGGGAGGAACACCAGUGGCGAAGGCGGCGACCUGGGCCAAUAUUGACGCUGAGGUGCGAAAGCGUGGGGAGCAAACAGG